GACGAACGCUGGCGGCGUGCCUAAUACAUGCAAGUAGAACGCACAGUCUAUACCGUAGCUUGCUACACCAUAAACUGUGAGUUGCGAACGGGUGAGUAACGCGUAGGUAACCUGCCUGGUAGCGGGGGAUAACUAUUGGAAACGAUAGCUAAUACCGCAUAAUAUUGAUUAUUGCAUGAUAAUGGAUUAAAAGUGCUUAUUCCACACUUACAGAUUGAACUGCGUUGUAUUAGCUAGUAGGUGAGGUAACGGCUCACCUAGGCGACGAUACAUAGCCGACCUGAGAGGGUGAUCGGCCACACUGGGACUGAGACACGGCCCAGACUCCUACGGGAGGCAGCAGUAGGGAAUCUUCGGCAAUGGACGAAAGUCUGACCGAGCAACGCCGCGUGAGUGAAGAAGGUUUUCGGAUCGUAAAGCUCUGUUGUAAGAGAAGAACGGGUGUGAGAGUGGAAAGUUCACACUGUGACGGUAUCUUACCAGAAAGGGACGGCUAACUACGUG
rnacentral:rRNA from 1 species